rnacentral:lncRNA from 1 species
UCAAAUCAAAACUUCAUUGCUGAGAGCCAUGUUGCAUCCAGCUCUCAAGCCUGGGAGCUAGAUGAGUCGCAUAGAAUAUGCCUAGUAGUCAGUGGCGCCAGCCCCCGAGCCUAGGUAUUGGCCAAGUUGCCGCUAAAUCUUGUACUGUUGAUGAAGCGACUAGUUGGAGUCGAUUCCGACUAGUUUUAUAGGCGAGACGAGUAGUCGAAGUAGUCACCAACGUAUCACCAAGGAGAGUCGAUUCUGACUAGCUUGUGGGCGAAACAAGUAGUUGAAGUAGUCGCCAGCGUGUCGCCGUGCAUUCUUCAGGAAGUCCAGUAGUCGCCGACGUUUGUUGAUGGACCCAACUAGUUGAAGUCGAAUCCGACGAGUAGUCGUUGUAGUCAGCAAGAUGUAGUCGAUCAUUCUCACAAAAUCGGAGUAGUCGUUGGCAAUUGUUGAUGAAGCCAAC